rnacentral:lncRNA from 1 species
AAGAAAUUGAAAAACUGACAAUUUGUGUUUCUAAGCAGAAAAUGGACAUUGAUCAAUACAUCAAGGAAUAAAACAGAUAAAAUUCCUAAUAUGAGAAAACCAGCAAUGAUGAUGCAAAGUUGAUAUUAUGAUAAAGUCACAAACAUUACGCACAGUGCAGUGCACUGUGCAUAAUGUUGGUGACAGUCAGUGCAGUACACAUUAUGUGUGCAUUGCACUUUAUAUAACCUGUCAAGAUGUCUUAAGGAACACAAGAACAUACUAAUAUUAAUGUGGGACUUUUAAAUAGAAUAUAUUAAUGCCAACCAGAGGUAAAAUGGGAAGAAGCUAGAAUUAAGAAACACAUCCUGAACCAAAAACAAGUUCUGCUGAUUGAAGGGACAGAUUUUUAUAGCAACAAAUGAAAAAGGGAAUAUUGUUAAUAAUCACAAAUGAUAAAAUGCAUGAAGUAUAAAAUGAUACUGUGACUCCUGGUUGCUGAUGUGCUUUCAGCAAUAGUUGUCACAUCACCCCCCAUAGUCUUUAUGCUAUCAACCUCAGAGCUUUCAAUAGAAAACUGGAAGUCAGCAAUAAGCUGGUAGUCCCAGAAUAAGUGGGCUAUUACCUACCUUUGCUAUGCUAUGGUAGGUAGCAAAGUAGAUAGCAAAGGUGAUAUCACUCACAAUAGAAAACAUUACUAAACAACAUAAACUUGUUCUUUUAAUUCGUUAAAUUUUGAAAAUAAUUAAUAUAAAGCAGUACAGGAUCAUACUUAACAUCAACACUCUUAAUAUUUACAGAAAAUAGUAGCAUGCUGACAGUGUUCACAAUCACUUAAAACACAGUUUAGAAAAUAUUAAAACUGAAUACUUUUAUGUUCUAAAUGAAUUCUUUUAUUUUGAAUAUUUUCAUUUUUCUUAAUUUCUAUGAGCAAAUGAUAAUCACAUUGCAUUAUAUUGAACAAAUAUGGCAAACAAUUCCUAUUGUAAAUUGGCCAAAAUUUAAUUUAUGUGUUUUUGCAUUAUGAUGCUACAAUAAGGGUUGAGCAUGCAAAGUCUUGACCUCUUCUUAAUGAGUAAUUUAUGUUAUGGCCCAGAAAGAAAAUCGGGAUAUUUUGAUAUUGAUUAUAACACUUUAUGAUAGAGAAUCCACCAGAAUUAUAUUCUCACAAUCCCAAAACCUUGAGCAUUAUCAUCCAAUGAAACAUAGCAUGUGCAUUGACAAGGAGAACUUUCUGGUUGCCUCCAUUCUUGAUUUUUGUUUUGGGAUUGAAGUAGGAUAUCCAGAUUUCAUCAGUUAUUAUCAAUCAGUGAUAAAAAUUGUCAUCAUAUGUUUCUUAUAGGUCAAAUAAGUUUCAACAAAUGACAUCCUCUUAAAUUUUCUGUUUUGAUUCCAACAGUCAGCACCUAAAUAGGAUGCCAACUGUAGACUAUUUUUUGGAAACUUUAUUUAUUCUCAAAAUUUAAGCAGAAUUUCAUGAACUCUUCUGGUACUGAUACCUAUAUCAUUAGAAAUAUCCUAAAUAGUUACACACACACACACACCUACACACACACACACACACACACACACACCUCUUUCAUGACAAGUUUUCUAAAGAUGCUUUGUUUUCAUCAUUAAUUGCAGUGUUUGGUUGGCCCAAAAGUACUUCAAUAA